UGGGGAAUAUUGCACAAUGGGCGAAAGCCUGAUGCAGCAACGCCGCGUGAGUGAUGAAGGCCUUCGGGUUGUAAAGCUCUGUCUUCUGGGACGAUAAUGACGGUACCAGAGGAGGAAGCCACGGCUAACUACGUGCCAGCAGCCGCGGUAAUACGUAGGUGGCAAGCGUUGUCCGGAUUUACUGGGCGUAAAGGAUGCGUAGGCGGAUACUUAAGUCAGAUGUGAAAAUCCCGGGCUUAACUUGGGAACUGCAUUUGAAACUGGGUAUCUAGAGUGCGGGAGAGNAAAGUGGAAUUCCGAGUGUAGCGGUGAAAUGCGUAGAGAUUAGGAAGAACACCAGUGGCGAAGGCGACUUUCUGGACCGGAACUGACGCUGAGGCAUGAAAGCGUGGGGAGCAAACA
rnacentral:rRNA from 1 species